UAUAAUUUUAAAAUCAUUAUAAUCAUAUAUAAUAUAUAUAUAUAUAUAUAUAAAACUUUUUUUUUUUUCAAAACUUGCAUUAUUUGAACUGUUGUUGAAAUCAUUGUGUAACGCACGUCGCGGCGCAAGUGCGACCCUCCCUCUCAAACAGUGAAUAACGGAAAUGAGCAGAGAAGGAAUACACCGUUUCUAGAUUUGGACCAGCGACCAGAAGAUCAGACUCGCUCAAGAGACUGUGUCAGCAACAAUGGUAGAAGGAAAUGACGACAACACUGGCUGCAUUAGAAACAGGACCACGUCGGAACUGCUGUUUCUCUCUCUCGCAUCGCGCAUUCUCGCUUCGUCUUCUCUCUCGCACAGCCCCGAUCGUAGGGCGGGGCUAACUCUUCGCUCUCCUCAUUGGACCAAUCUUCACAUUGUUUUAUUUGAAUAAUUUUUCAAAUUAGUUUUAUUUCUUUUUGAAUUUAUGCAUUUUCCUAUUUUCUAUUUCACAAAUGCUAUUAAAAUAAAGCACUGAUUUACAUA